rnacentral:rRNA from 1 species
GACAGAGGGUGCAAACGUUGUUCGGAUUUACUGGGCGUAAAGCGCGUGUAGGCGGCUUUACAAGUCGGAUGUGAAAGCCCACGGCUCAACCGUGGAAGUGCAUCCGAAACUGUAUCGCUGGAGUCCCGGAGAGGAAGGUGGAAUGCUUGGUGUAGAGGUGAAAUUCGUAGAUAUCAAGCAGAACACCUGCGGCGAAGGCGGCCUCUGGACGGUGACGUGACG